AACCAGGAGGUCAAGUUGUACACUAAUGGUAAAAAGACAGUUAAAUAAAACAAUGGGUUUAAUUCACUGUCCUAUAAAGAGGUAGAAUUCGAAUAUAGACAAAUAUAUUAAUUAUAACCAAUGUAUUGAAGCUGUGACGACUUUGAGGGAAACUAGGAUUAGAUACCCUAUUAUUCAUAGAUGUAAAUAAAAAUAUUCUACCUGAGUACUAAGAAUAAAAAAUUUAAAACUCAAAGGGCUUGGCGGUGUUUUAGACUACUUAGGGGAACCUGUCUCAUAAUCGACAAUCCACGUUAAACCUAAUCUUUUUUUGCAUUCAGCUUGUAUACCGUCGUCGCCAGGUAACUUUUAAGAUAAAAAAAGUUAGCUAAUAAAAUACUUGAAUUAGGACGUCAGAUCAAGGUGCAGCUUAUGAAAAGAUGUAGAUGGGUUACAAUUAUUAUAUUUAUAAUUACGGAUAGCAAUUUUAAAAAUAGUUGAUAAGGAGGACUUAAAAGUAAAAUAAAAUAUAUAAACAUUUUGAAUAGAGCUCUGAAACGUGU
rnacentral:rRNA from 1 species